UUGUUUUACAGCUUAUGAUCUUUACGUCUGCUUAUUUACUAUGUUUAUUCGUAUAGAAACGCAGCCUUGCUCCACCGAGACUCAAGGACAGAAAUACACCCAGACAUUUUCAGAGGAAUGGAGAUCUGACCAUGACUUGAAAGAUACAGAGAUGCAUAUGAAACUAGAAGUUUAUACACAGCCCGAGGAUAAUGAAGAGGACAUGCCUGUGUGCAGUGAAUCAGCAUCUUUGUCACCAUGUAUGGACAUUUAUCAUGAUCAGAUGCCCAGCAAAGACACUGAAACCCAAGUGAUGGACAGUAGUGAGAAUAAUUUUCCCUUUAUUAACAAAGCAGCUCGAAUUAAGAAUGAGCCUGAGACUAAUACUGAAACAGGUACCACCUGCCAAAUACAGCAGAACAUCACAAAACAAGAUUUGGAUGAUUCAGGGGCCAGUGAUGCGUCCAGUGACGUCAACAAAGUCAAAGUUAGCCACGCUGGCUUCCCCAGACAUGAGACACAAACAUUUAAUGUGCCCCUCAGAAAACAAGAGAUGUUGAUGAAGCAUCGGAUGGAGCUGGCCCAGAUAAGAGAGAGAUUGGCAGAUGAAGAGCGAAAGAAGGCCGCAGCAAAAGCUAGAUCCCUAAAGCACAAGCAGAAAGUAUACGGGAAUCCUGAGCUUCGUGAGGCAUGCAGGAAAAAGGAGAGAGAGAGGUAUACUGCAGCUUACAUGAGGAAAUCCUGACUGUAGGUUAGGUACAUAUGCAU
rnacentral:lncRNA from 1 species